rnacentral:misc_RNA from 1 species
AUCAGACUUCCAUUUUCCGGUGCGGGACGACAUCCGGUUGAAUUUCCACUCACCCUUAUAGGUCGUGUUGGUGAGGAUCUUGUAGAUGGUGCCGACGCCAAAUGUUUUGCCCUUGCGCGUGCGAUAGCCGCGGCUGUUGAGCCAUUUGACGACCUCUUUGACGCCAAGCGCUCCCGACGUGCCGUCACCAUGGAGAUAGAGCUUGAAAAUGAGCUGGACCGUCUCGGCAUCGACAGGAUCGAUGGCCAGGGUCUUCUUGAUCUUGGUGCCGCGCUUCUCGACCUCGACCAGGACGUAGCCAAGC